rnacentral:tRNA from 1 species
AGUCCUGUGGUGAAAGGUCAUAUUGAAUUGCAAAUUCAAAGAAGCAGCUUCAAUUCUGCCGGGGCUU